UGUAACAUAAGCGCGACUCCUUUGCCAU
rnacentral:sRNA from 1 species